GCAGCAGGCGCGAAAACUCUACAAUGCAGGCAACUGCGAUAGGGGAACAUCGAGUGGCACCCACCAUGGGUGUCUGUCCAACCGUCUAAAAAACGGUUGUUAGCAAGGGCCGGGUAAGACCGGUGCCAGCCGCCGCGGUAAUACCGGCGGCUCGAGUGAUGGCCGAUAUUAUUGAGUCUAAAGGGUCCGUAGCUGGCUUUGCAAGUCCCCUGGGAAAUCCAGCGGCUUAACCGUUGGGCUUCCAUGGGAUACUACAUUGCUUGGGACUGGGAGAGGUAGGAGGUACUCAGGGGGUAGGGGUGAAAUCCUGUAAUCCUCUGGGGACCACCGGUGGCGAAGGCGUCCUACCAGAACAGGUCCGACAGUGAGGGACGAAAGCUAGGGGCACGAACCGGAUUAGAUACCCGGGUAGUCCUAGCCGUAAACGAUGCUCGCUAGGUGUCACGGCAGUCGUGAAUUGUCGUGGUGCCGUAGGGAAGCCGUGAAGCGAGCCACUUGGGAAGUACGACCGCAAGGUUGAAACUUAAAGGAAUUGGCGGGGGAGCAC
rnacentral:rRNA from 1 species